rnacentral:ncRNA from 2 species
CUCGCGGCAGGAGAUGGCAUGCCUCCUUUAACCGCCACCGGCCUCGUGCCGGGGCUGAUGAUGCCUACGCAACC